rnacentral:misc_RNA from 1 species
AACGCACAUUGCGCCCGCCAGUAUUCUGGCGGGCAUGCCUGUUCGAGCGUCAUUACAACCAUCAAGUCCUAGGCUUGUGUUGGGGCCCUGCGGCUGCCGCAGCCCCCUAAAUGUAGUGGCGGUCUCGCUGUAACACCGAGCGUAGUAGUUUCUCCUCGCAAGGGCGUUGUGGCGGGUUCUAGCCGUGAAAUCCCCUAAAUUUCAAGGUUGACCUCGGAUCAGGUAGGAAUACCCGCUGAACUUAA